UUUUUUGCAGUAGAGAAAAAUAUAAAAAAUGGGAUGCAACGGAGUGCAAAGUGUCUCAUAUCUAUCGCAAAGUGCAAGGAUCGAAGAGUUAGCUUAUUAACCAAUUUCCUAUUUUUAUCAUCCAAUUGCAAUGAGUCAUUCUGGCCAUCCGUUCAAGUUGUGUAUAUUUAUUUGUCGGCAGACACUUCGCGAUUGAUGUGUAAAUGAACUAAUGCACUGGAUUUUGGGUCGUCCAUUUACAGAUUUCUUCUCAGAUUGGAUACAGUGUAUGUAACCUGGGCACAAAACAUCAUUGUUCUCUAACAUGGUUGUUGUGCUGAUAACAGGAGUCUGUGGAAGUGGAAAGACAACUGUGGCGCGAGCUUUGGCAAAGAAGUUGUCAUGCCCUUACAUGGAUGCAGACAAUUUCCAUUCACAAGGUAACAUCACAAAAAUGAAGCAAGGAACCCCACUCACUGACGAGGACAGACAACCUUGGCUCCUGGCUUUGCACAAAGUUAUUGAAAGGUAUUCAUGAAUAAUAUCUGUUAGUUAUAAUUUGUUUAAUGUACUAUGACUGAGGAAAAAUCCAGGGCAGGAAAUAAUUAUUUCAAUAUAUUGGUCAAGCACCCAGCCUGAUAACUGAAAUUACUCCAGAUUGUAGUGGUAUAUAUUGAAGUACUAUUGUCUGAGUUUAUCACAUCUGGAACAAAAUUUGAGUGUUGAAAGUCUCUGUUUGAGACUUUUUUGCUGAUGGAGUGGUAACCUUUGUCUGUUCCACAAGGACAUCACAAGAGAAUGAAUCCUUUUAAAUAUGACCAAAUUAGAGUAAUCCUAUAACUAGCAAAAUGUAACUGACAGGUGUUGAUGGACACUUACCCAGCCCAGUUAUUCUAGUAAAUG
rnacentral:lncRNA from 1 species